UCCUACGGGAGGCAGCAGUGGGGAAUUUUCCGCAAUGGGCGAAAGCCUGACGGAGCAAGCCCGCGUGGGGGAGGAAUACCUUAGGGUUGUAAACCCCUUUUAUUUGGGAAGAAAAAAAUGACGGUACCAGAUGAAUAAGCCUCGGCUAACUCCGUGCCAGCAGCCGCGGUAAUACGGAGGAGGCAAGCGUUAUCCGGAUUUAUUGGGCGUAAAGCGUCCGUAGGUGGCAGUUCAAGUCUGCUGUCAAAGACAGUGGCUCAACCCCUGAAAGGCAGUAGAUACUGAACAGCUAGAGUGCGGUAGGGGCAGAGGGAAUUCCAGGUGUAGCGGUGAAAUGCGUAGAUUUCUGGAAGAACAUCGGUGGCGAAAGCGCUCUGCUAGGCCGCAACUGACACUCAGGGACGAAAGUUAGGGGAGCGAAUGGGAUUAGAUACCCCAGUAGUCCUCGCCGCCUUCUAUGAUACUAGGUGUUGCCGGUAUCGACCCAGGCAGUGCCGUAGCUAACGCGUUAA
rnacentral:rRNA from 1 species